AUUAGCUAGUUGGUGGUGUAGAAGACCACCAAGGCGACGAUGGGUAGCCGGCCUGAGAGGGCGAACGGCCACACUGGGACUGAGACACGGCCCAGACUCCUACGGGAGGCAGCAGUGGGGAAUCUUCCGCAAUGGGCGAAAGCCUGACGGAGCAACGCCGCGUGAGGGAAGAAGGCUUUCGGGUUGUAAACCUCUGUUUUCAGGGAAGAACAAAAUGACGGUACCUGAAGAGUAAGCUCCGGCUAACUACGUGCCAGCAGCCGCGGUAAUACGUAGGGAGCAAGCGUUGUCCGGAUUUACUGGGCGUAAAGGGCGCGUAGGUGGUUCAUUAAGUUAGAGGUGAAAGUUCGGGGCUCAACCCCGUGAUUGCCUCUGAUACUGGUGGACUUGAGUGCAGGAGAGGGUAGCAGAAUUCCCAGUGUAGCGGUGAAAUGCGUAGAUAUUGGGAGGAAUACCAGUGGCGAAGGCGGCUAUCUGGACUGUAACUGACACUGAGGCGCGAAAGCGUGGGGAGCGAACAGGAUUAGAUACCCUGGUAGUCCACGCCGU
rnacentral:rRNA from 1 species